UACAGAUUGAGAGCUCUUUCUUGAUUCGGUGGGUGGUGGUGCAUGGCCGUUCUUAGUUGGUGGAGCGAUUUGUCUGGUUAAUUCCGAUAACGGAACGAGACUCUAGCCUGCUAACUAGGCGAUUUCCGGUACCCACAAUAGUGUUACCGGCGAUUCAAUUUCUUCUUAGAGGGACAGGCGGCUCCUA
rnacentral:rRNA from 1 species